GAUGAACGCUGGCGGCGUGCCUAAUACAUGCCAGUCGAGCGAACGGACGAGAAGCUUGCUUCUCUGAUGCUAGCGGCGGACGGGUGAGUAACACGUGGAUAACCUACCUAUAAGACUGGGAUAACUUCGGGAAACCGGAGCUAAUACCGGAUAAUAUUUUGAACCGCAUGGUUCAAAAGUGAAAGACGGUCUUGCUGUCACUUAUAGAUGGAUCCGCGCUGCAUUAGCUAGUUGGUAAGGUAACGGCUUACCAAGGCAACGAUGCAUAGCCGACCUGAGAGGGUGAUCGGCCACACUGGAACUGAGACACGGUCCAGACUCCUACGGGAGGCAGCAGUAGGGAAUCUUCCGCAAUGGGCGAAAGCCUGACGGAGCAACGCCGCGUGAGUGAUGAAGGUCUUCGGAUCGUAAAACUCUGUUAUUAGGGAAGAACAUAUGUGUAAGUAACUGUGCACAUCUUGACGGUACCUAAUCAGAAAGCCACGGCUAACUACGUG
rnacentral:rRNA from 1 species